GGGAGGAAUAUUGCACAAUGGGGGAAACCCAGAUGCAGCAACGCCGCGUGAGUGAAGAAGGCCUUCGGGUCGUAAAGCUCUUUUCUGAGGGAUGAGGAAGGACAGUACCUUGGGAAUAAGUCUCGGCUAACUACGUGCCAGCAGCCGCGGUAAUACGUAGGAGGCGAGCGUUAUCCGGAUUUAUUGGGCGUAAAGGGCAAGUAGGCGGUUGGGUAAGUUGGGUGUGACAUCUCCCGGCUCAACUGGGAGGGGUCAUUCAAGACUGCCUGACUGGAGGGCAGGAGAGGGAAGUGGAAUUCCUAGUGUAGCGGUGGAAUGCUCAGAUAUUAGGAAGAACACCAGUGGCGAAGGCGGCUUUCUGGCCUGCACCUGACGCUGAGAGGCGAAAGCUAGGGGAGCGAACGGGCUUAGAAACCCUAGUAGUCC
rnacentral:rRNA from 1 species